AUGUUUGUUUUUGCACCUGCCAUCUUCUAUAUAUAUACAUAUGCAGCAGAGAAGAAGUACAUGAGUUCAUCUCGUCUUCUCCUGAGUCGAGAAAAAUCGCCAGCUGCAAUGCCUGCUCACCGCACCUCACCGUUGGUCACCUUAGGUUUCCUUGCUGAAAUCCUGCUACUGGUGCAUUGUUCACACGCCCUUUCAGCAAACAGCAGUGCCUCGCAGCAGGUCCCUGUACGCUGCCGCAGGGACCAGGCCUCCGCGCUUCUCACCGUGAAGCGUUCCUUCUCCUUCACCGACGAGGGCUACUGGGCAUCCACCACGACACUGUCAUCGUGGAGAGCGGACACAGACUGCUGCCGCUGGGAAGGCGUUCGCUGCGACAAUGUUACCGGGAGGGUCACUGCACUCGACCUCUCGGAGCGGAACCUGCAGAUCGGCGAGCUUCACCCUUCCAUCUCCAGGCUUACCUCUCUCCAAUACCUCAACCUUGCCUCCAACACGUUUACCAGCUCCCAGCUUCAGGUUUCUGGUUUCCAGAGCUUGACACAACUGACCUAUCUCAACCUGUCAGGUUGCAACUUUGAUUUUCAGGUCCCAGUCGAUAUCUUUCGGCUCACCAACCUGGUCACCCUCGACCUUGGAUACAACAGAUGGGAGCUCCGUCCGUCGACCAUAGUAGCCAGCGACCUUGGCAAGCUGAAGGAGCUCCAUCUAGAGCAAGUUAAUAUCACCGGCACAGCACCGGAGUUCUUCAAGGCACUUGCCAACCACUUCCCCCUUCUUCAGAUCCUUCGCUUAAACGAAUGUCCCCUUUCUGGUCCACUCCACCCAUCCUUAUCAAGACUCCACUCCUUGUCGGUGAUUGAUCUUGGUUAUAACUCUUUAACCGGUCCUCUGCCUGAUUUGUUCACUCCUUCCAAUUUCCCUUCGCUGCGAGAACUUGUGCUCGCUGUUAACAGAUUUGAGCCGAGUGCAUUCCCUCUUGGGAUCACUGGGCUAAGGAAUCUCAUGAUUCUCGACCUUGGAAGCACGAACCUCGUUGGGGCCAUCCCUACCUCCAUCGGGAGCCUCAUGUCACUGACUGAAUUACACAUCGGUGGGAACAGCUUCUCCGGCAGGCUACCUUCGGCCCUCAGCAAUCUGACAAACUUGAUCAUACUGGACUGUCAGCAUUCCGGUUUGUCUGGGCAGGUUCCAUGGCUUACAAGCUUGACACGACUUGAACGCGUAUGGCUCGCCAACAACAACUUCACGGGACCGGUUCCUCUUGACGGACAUAUGUACCAAUAUCUUACAGAGGUGAAUUUAAGCAAUAAUUCACUCUCCGAGACAGUCCCAGCAUCCUUGUUCACUCAGCCAGCAUUGCAGACAUUGCACCUCCAAAUGAACCGACUCUCUGGUGCUAUUGAGGAAUUCCAGAAUCCAUCAGCUAAGCUAACUGACGUUGACUUGAGCAGCAAUCAGCUGACAGGUGCAAUUCCAACUUCAUUUUCCUAUCUCACUGCUCUUCAUACCCUGCAACUUGACAACAACAAUUUCACGGGUACCUUGGAUCUAAACACAUUCUUGAGGCUAAGGAAUCUCAGUGUGAUAUCAGCCUCCUAUAACCCAUUGUUAUCUGCCUCCGGGGAUGGUAAUGAAGUCGAUGAUUAUAGUAACAGUAGUCUUUCUAUCCUGUAUCUAGCAUGCUGUAACCUAACAAGGUUGCCCCUUGUGAUUAAAUAUCUACCUGAACUACAAGAUUUGGAUCUCUCUUCCAAUCAAAUUCAUGGGGAGAUCCCUGACUGGAUUUGGAGAAACAUGAGCUCCUUGGACCUCUCUCACAACCACUUCACCACAGUGGGUCAACCCCUGCACUAUGUUAAUAUAAGGUUCAUCGAUCUUAGCUUCAAUAUGCUCGGUGGCGUUGUGCCUUUCCCUUUCGACGUGUAUGAUCUUGACUACUCCAACAACAAAUUCUCGUCCAUCCCUCCAAGCAAUUUCCUCCGACAGUUUGAGGUGGCCUACUCCGUCAACCUUGCUAACAAUGAACUGAGUGGGCCUAUCCCCUACUCAGAAUGUCGUAAGGACCAUCCUCUCCAAAUACUCGACUUGUCCGGCAAUAAUCUCACCGGGUUGGUGCCGCCUUAUUUGCUAAAAGGUUGCAAUGACCUCACUGUGCUGAACUUGAGGGACAAUAGCCUUGACGGAGCAUGGCCUGACGAGAUCGACGAAUCAUGUAACCUGAGGCUGAUAGAUUUACAUGGGAACCACAUCCAGGGGCGCCUGCCGAGAACAUUGGCUCGAUGCCAAUGCUUGCUAGCUCUUGACAUUGGAGGGAACCGUUUUGUGGACUCUUUCCCUGUAUGGCUAGGUCAGCUACAGGAGCUUCAGCUACUUGUGUUGAGAUACAACAAUUUUCAUGGCCCGGUGAGCAUCCCCCCUCUUGUGGAGAAGAACUCAAGCGCCCGUUACUUCGCCAGUGUACAAAUCAUUGACCUUGCAGGAAACGGCUUCAGCGGCGAUCUACCACCAUAUUUAUUCAAGAGUUUCAGGUCCAUGGUUUUGGACCCAAAUGGAACCGCGGAAUAUGAUUAUACAGUGCAUGCGCGAGCUGGUAGAUCGAAUUAUCAGGUUGUGAUCGAUGUGGCCAUGAAACAACAAUACAUGAGGGUGGAAAAAGUCCCAGCUGACCUGAUGGUGGUUGACCUGUCAUGCAACCGAUUCAGUGGGUUCAUCCCACGGUCAAUCGGCAACCUCACAUACCUUCACGUGGUAAACUUGUCUCACAAUGCUUUCAGAGGCAAGAUCCCACACGAGCUCGGCCAGUUGGCCCGGAUUGAGUCACUGGACCUCUCCUGGAACCAUCUCGUGGGGGAGAUCCCACAGGAGCUGGCCAUGUUGACCACACUUGAGUGGCUCAACCUCUCCUACAAUGAUCUCGGUGGGAGGAUACCUUCUGGCAGCCAGUUUUCCACAUUCACCAGCAGCUCGUUCCAGGGCGGAAACAGAGGGUUGUACGGGUGCCCACUUCUCGUGAAAUGUAACCUUACAUUCGUGACUUCGCCAUCUUCGUCGCUGCCACCUCCUGUGCGAGAAGGAUCACCAUUAGAUGAUAUCAUGUUAUGGCUUUUUGUUGGUGUAGGCUUUGGAGUCGGAUUUGCGUUGACAAUUGUACUACUGGUUGUCUACGGUUGCUGGUGCAAGAAAUGGUUUUGA
rnacentral:rRNA from 1 species